rnacentral:misc_RNA from 1 species
GAUCCGCUCAUCAUACAAGUUCUCCUCAUCUCCUCUAUCUGCUCCUUUUGACAAGUAGGGGAUUCAAAUCCCUCUUUAUACACAAGGUGUUAUCCAAACAGUCCACAUAAAAGAAAAAAAAAAAACCCUGAAAAACUAUAACGUGAGAGGGGGAAAAAACACAUUGCUAUGCCUAAUUACUUCACACUUCUCAGAUUGACUACUUCAGCUAUUCUGGGUCAGUUCCUUUCCUUACAUCAUCAGACUUGCAGUGGACAACUUUUCUUGGACUAGGCUGUUAUGAGCAUGUGAUGAUGCAGGAUUCAUUCUCCUUGUAAGUUAAAAAGCCAAAAUUGUGGGCACUUGGUUUGACAAU